rnacentral:rRNA from 1 species
GACGAACUUUGGCGGCGUGCUUAACACAUGCAAGUCGAACGGAAAGGCCCUGCUUUUGUGGGGUGCUCGAGUGGCGAACGGGUGAGUAACACGUGAGUAACCUGCCCUUGACUUUGGGAUAACUUCAGGAAACUGGGGCUAAUACCGGAUAGGAGCUCCUGCUGCAUGGUGGGGGUUGGAAAGUUUCGGCGGUUAGGGAUGGACUCGCGGCUUAUCAGCUUGUUGGUGGGGUAGUGGCUUACCAAGGCUUUGACGGGUAGCCGGCCUGAGAGGGUGACCAGCCACAUUGGGACUGAGAUACGGCCCAGACUCCUACGGGAGGCAGCAGUGGGGAAUAUUGCACAAUGGGCGGAAGCCUGAUGCAGCAACGCCGCGUGCGGGAUGACGGCCUUCGGGUUGUAAACCGCUUUCGCCUGUGACGAAGCGUGAGUGACGGUAAUGGGUAAAGAAGCACCGGCUAACUACGUGCCAGCAGCCGCGGUGAUACGUAGGGUGCGAGCGUUGUCCGGAUUUAUUGGGCGUAAAGGGCUCGUAGGUGGUUGAUCGCGUCGGAAGUGUAAUCUUGGGGCUUAACCCUGAGCGUGCUUUCGAUACGGGUUGACUUGAGGAAGGUAGGGAAGAAUGGAAUUCCUGGUGGAGCGGUGGAAUGCGCAGAUAUCAGGAGGAACACCAGUGGCGAAGGCGGUUCUCUGGGCCUUUCCUGACGCUGAGGAGCGAAAGCGUGGGGAGCGAACAGGCUUAGAUACCCUGGUAGUCCACGCUGUAAACGGUGGGUACUAGGUGUGGGGUCCAUUCCACGGGUUCCGUGCCGUAGCUAACGCUUUAAGUACCCCGCCUGGGGAGUACGGCCGCAAGGCUAAAACUCAAAGGAAUUGACGGGGCCCCGCACAAGCGGCGGAGCAUGCGGAUUAAUUCGAUGCAACGCGUAGAACCUUACCUGGGUUUGACAUGGAUCGGGAGUGCUCAGAGAUGGGUGUGCCUCUUUUGGGGUCGGUUCACAGGUGGUGCAUGCCUGUCGUCAGCUCGUGUCGUGAGAUGUUGGGUUAAGUCCCGCAACGAGCGCAACCCUUGUUCACUGUUGCCAGCACGUUAUGGUGGGGACUCAGUGGAGACCGCCGGGGUCAACUCGGAGGAAGGUGGGGAUGACGUCAAGUCCUCAUGCCCCUUAUGUCCAGGGCUUCACGCAUGCUACAAUGGCUGGUACAGAGAGUGGCGAGCCUGUGAGGGUGAGCGAAUCUCGGAAAGCCGGUCUCAGUUCGGAUUGGGGUCUGCAACUCGACCUCAUGAAGUCGGAGUCGCUAGUAAUCGCAGAUCAGCAACGCUGCGGUGAAUACGUUCCCGGGGCU